UACGUAGGGUGCGAGCGUUAAUCGGAAUUACUGGGCGUAAAGAGUGCGUAGGCGGUCCCGCAAGUCCGCUGUGAAAGCCCCGGGCUUAACCUGGGAAUGGCAGUGGAAACUAGGGGACUUGAAUCUGGCAGAGGGGGGUGGAAUGCCACGUGUAGCAGUGAAAUGCGUCGAGAUGUGGCGGAACACCGAUGGCGAAGGCAGCCCCCUGGGCUGAGAUUGACGCUCAGGCACGAAAGCGUGGGGAGCAAACAGG
rnacentral:rRNA from 1 species